CAGACAGCCCUGGAGACUGAAGUUUUCUAUUAUUCCACACGAAAGAUACAGAAUAAGUGGUUGCUGUGCAAGCUUCCCAUACAUUCCCCCAAUCUCCACUGGCAUUCCUGACUCAGAGAUAUGACGUCUCAUGGGACAUGCUAACCCAGUCUCCAUGGACCAUUCAGUCCUUGACCUCU
ensembl:misc_RNA